rnacentral:rRNA from 1 species
CCGGGUGUAAUAGUUCCCGAGGUCUUGUACACACCGCCCGUCACACCAUGAGAGUUUGUAACACCCAAAGUCGGUGGGGUAACCUUUUAGGAGCCAGCCGCCUAAGGUGGGACAGAUGAUUAGGGUGAAGUCGUAACAAGGUAGCCGUAGGAGAACCUGCGGCUGGAUCACCUCCU